CCAGGCCACGCGGGAACAGACCAGACCCGACCCGCGCAGAACGCCGGCCGAGGGCCCAGCCACCCCUCCAGACCCCUCACGAUUUGUGAGGAGAAACAGGCUCACGGGCAGGAAUCGGGCUCGGCGGAGGGUUUCUGGAAUGGACGCUGAAAUCUCCAGGAACAGAAUGCUUGAUUCGUGUGUUGCUAAGGUAGAUGUGGGAAAGGAUUGUGAUACAAUAAGGGAGACACCCAGAUGCACGUGGCGUCCGAACGGGAUGACCGGCGGCGGGGCUGUGGGGAGACAGAGGCAGAGGCAGCCUAACUUCCUCAGAUGCCGGUGCAAAGGAAACACAACCCCAAAUAAAGGAGACGGGAGAGUCAAGGUCAUGCAUAAUAAUCCUAACUUGCCAGGAGCCAAGCCAUUUACUACAAAGCUGCUUUGCAGCGAAGGAGGCGGAUUGGCACCAGGACCGGAAGAGACGAGUGAAUCAGCACAGCGGAAAGUGAGCACAGACAGCUGAGGGAGUCAAAGAUGGAACAAAAAAUCAGUGGAGAAACAAUUAUUAGCAGACAAAGCUGGACACACGAGCUCACUGUGUAGCAGAAAAUGACGUGGCACCCCGAUGUAACACCAUUCCACUACUGCAUGUUACUGAUGUAAUGACCUUAAUGGGAGACAGAAACACACACAUUUAGAAAGGAGUGGAUGUGAGAGAGUGUGAAAACUUCUACUAAAAAAAAAUCGAUAACGACAUUAACAACUGAAUUAUAUUAAAAUUAAAAAUCAGUAAAAUAAAGAGCACA
rnacentral:lncRNA from 1 species